UACGUAGGGGGCGAGCGUUGUCCGGAUUCAUUGGGCGUAAAGAGCUCGUAGGCGGCUUGGCAAGCCGGGUGUGAAAACUCCAGGCUCAACCUGGAGACGCCACCCGGGACUGCUAUGGCUAGAGUCCGGUAGGGGAUCACGGAAUUCCUGGUGUAGCGGUGAAAUGCGCAGAUAUCGGGAGGAACACCUGUGGCGAAGGCGGCCACCUGGGCCGACCCUGACGCUGAGGCGCGAAGGCGUGGGGAGCGAACGGG
rnacentral:rRNA from 1 species